UACGGGGGGGGCAAGCGUUGUUCGGAAUUACUGGGCGUAAAGGGCGCGUAGGCGGCCUUCUAAGUCGAACGUGAAAUCCCCGGGCUCAACCCGGGAACUGCGUCCGAUACUGGAAGGCUUGAAUCCGGGAGAGGGAUGUGGAAUUCCAGGUGUAGCGGUGAAAUGCGUAGAUAUCUGGAGGAAUACCGGUGGCGAAGGCGGCAUCCUGGACCGACAUUGACGCUGAGGAGCGAAAGCCAGGGGAGCAAACGGG
rnacentral:rRNA from 1 species